UACGAAGGGGGCUAGCGUUGCUCGGAAUCACUGGGCGUAAAGCGCACGUAGGCGGCUUUCUAAGUCAGGGGUGAAAUCCUGGAGCUCAACUCCAGAACUGCCUUUGAUACUGGAGAGCUUGAGUCCGGAAGAGGUGAGUGGAACUCCGAGUGUAGAGGUGAAAUUCGUAGAUAUCGGGAGGAACACCAGUGGCGAAGGCGGUUACCUGGAGCUUUGCUGACGCUGAUGCGCGAAAGCGUGGGGAGCGAUCCGG
rnacentral:rRNA from 1 species